rnacentral:rRNA from 1 species
GUAAGGGCGUGCGGUGGAUGCCUUGGCAUCGGCCGGCGAUGAAGGACGUGAUAAGCUGCGAUAAGCCUCGGGGAGCGGCACAUACGCUUUGAUCCGGGGAUCUCCGAAUGGGGCAACCCGCUCCGGGCAAUGCCGGAGCGUCGGCGCCGGAACACAUACGACGUCGAAGCGAACGGGGGGAAGUGAAACAUCUCAGUACCCCCAGGAAAAGAAAGCAAACGCGAUUCCCUCAGUAGUGGCGAGCGAACGGGGAACAGCCCAAACCCCGCGGUUUACCGCGGGGGGUUGUGGGACCGCGGCGUGGGAUCUGGAUGGAUAGCCGAAGAGAUCUGGAACGUUCCUCCACAGAGGGUGACAGGCCCGUAGGCGAAAUCCGGACAGACCCUAGCGGGAUCCCAAGUACGGCGGGACACGUGAAACCCUGCCGGAAUCCGGGAGGCCCACCUCCUAAGGCUAAAUACGUGCCGAUGACCGAUAGUGAACGAGUACCGUGAGGGAAAGGUGAAAAGAACCCCUGAUAGGGGAGUGAAACAGUACCUGAAACCGCAUGCCUACAAGGUGUCGUAGUCCGGCGAACGCCGGAUGGCGGCUUGCCUUUUGCAUAAUGAGUCCGCGAGUUGCCGUACGCGGCGAGGUUAAUCCCGGUGACGGGAGGAGCCGAAGCGAAAGCGAGUGCGAACGGCGCGAUUCAGUCGCGUGCGGCAGACCCGAAGCCGUGUGAGCUACCCAUGGCCAGGGUGAAGCCCGGGUAACACCGGGUGGAGGCCCGAACCAGUGGACGUUGAAAAGUCCUUGGAUGAGCUGUGGGUGGGAGCGAAAGACUUAACAAACUCGGGGAUAGCUGGUUCUUCCCGAAAUAGCUUUAGGGCUAGCCUGCACGAACGCGACCGGCGGAGGUAGAGCACUGAAUGGUCUAGGGUUCUUACCGGAAUACCGAAGCCAAUCAAACUCCGAAUGCCGCCGGCGGCACGUGUGGAGUCAGUCCGUGGGGGAUAAGCUUCACGGACAAGAGGGAAAUAGCCCAGACCGCCGGCCAAGGCCCCCAAAUCCGGUUAAGUGCGGAAGGAUGUGAAACUGCGAAGACAGCCAGGAUGUUGGCUUAGAGGCAGCCAUCAUUUAAACAGUGCGUAACAGCUGACUGGUCGAGUGGUUUUGCGCCAUAAAUGAUCGGGACUCAAACCGGAUGCCGAAGCCGCGGAUCCCUCGCGCAAGCGGGGGGUGGUAGGGAAGCGUUCCAUGCGGGCCGAAGUGUUGCGGGAACGCGGCAUGGACUGCAUGGAAGCGAUUAUGCGGACAUGAGUAACGAUAAGACGGGUGGAAAUCCCGUCCGCCGAAAUCCCAAGAUUUCCUGGGGAAGGUUCGUCCGCCCAGGGUUAGUCGGCCCCUAAGGCGAGGCCGAAAGGCGUAGUCGAUGGGAAACAGGUUCAAUAUUCCUGUACCGCCGGUUCGACGAUCAAGACGCGAUGGAGUGACGCAGAAAGCUAGGCCGGCCACCAGAUGGAAACGGUGGUCCAAGCCCCCAGAGGGUCCCGAUAGGCAAAUCCGUCGGGGCGUCAACCUUGAAGGGCGAGCGGGAUCCGUCCCGCAAGGGGCGGGAACCGGCCGAGGCUCCGCUGCCGAGAAAAGCUUCUAGCGAGUCGGACAGGCGACCGUAUCGCAAACCGACACAGGUGGGAGGGUAGAAUAUACCCAGGCGCGCGAGAGAAACCUCGUUAAGGAACUCGGCAAUCUGGCCCCGUAACUUCGGAAGAAGGGGUCCUCUCCGGCGUGCGAUCAUCUCAAGCGCUGGGGAGGCGCAGUGAAAGAGCUCUGGCGACUGUUUACCAAAAACACAGCACUCUGCGAACUCAAAAGAGGAUGUAUAGGGUGUGACACGUGACCAAUGCCGAAAGGUUAAGGCAAGGAGUCAGCCGCAAGGCGAAGCUCCGACCCGAAGCCCCGGUGAAUGUCGGCCGUAACUAUAACGGUCCUAAGGUAGCGAAAUUCCUUGUCGGGUAAGUUCCGACCUGCACGAAUCGUGUAACGAUCGGAGCGCUGUCUCAACGAGGUUCUCGGUGAAAUUGUAGCGCCGGUGCAAAUGCCGGCUUCCCGCAGUAGGACGGAAAGACCCUGUGAACCUUUACUGUAAUCUGGUAUGGGACUCUGGCCCGCCAUAUGUAGGAUAGCUGGGAGGCGGAGAACCCCGCUCGUCAGGGUGGGGGGAGCCGACGGUGAAAUACCAGUUUUGGUGGUCCGGAGUUCUAACCUGGGCCCGUCAUCCGGGACAGGGACAGUGCCAGAGGGUCAGUUUGACUGGGGCGGUUUCCUCCCAAACGGUAACGGAGGAGCCCUAAGGUUCCCUCAACACGGUCGGCAAUCGUGUGUAGAGCGCAUAGGCAGAAGGGAGCUUGACUGCGAGACGGACAGGUCGAGCAGGUGCGAAAGCAGGGCUAAGUGAUCCGGUGGUUGCUCGUGGUAGCGCCAUCGCUCAACGGACAAAAGGUACUCCGGGGAUAACAGGCUGAUCGCCGCCAAGAGUCCACAUCGACGCGGCGGUUUGGCACCUCGAUGUCGGCUCAUCGCAUCCUGGGGCUGGAGAAGGUCCCAAGGGUUGGGCUGUUCGCCCAUUAAAGCGGUACGCGAGCUGGGUUCAAAACGUCGUGAGACAGUUUGGUCCUUAUCCACUGUGGGCGCAGGAGAUUUGAGGGGAUAGUUCCUUAGUACGAGAGGACCGGGAACUACGCACCUCUGGUGUUCCGGCUGUCGCGCCAGCGGCACCGCCGGGUAGCUAUGUGCGGAAAGGAUAAGCGCUGAAAGCAUCUAAGCGCCAAGCCCCCCCCAAGAUCAGAUCUCCCAACCCGUAAGGGUUCUGAAGGCUGGUCGAAGACGACGACCUCGAUAGGCCGGAGGUGGACGCGGGGCGACCCGUGAAGCUGACCGGUCCUAAUCAGCCGUGUGGCUUGAUC